rnacentral:misc_RNA from 1 species
GAUGAAGAACGUAGCGAAAUGCGAUACUUGGUGUGAAUUGCAGAAUCCCGUGAAUCAUCGAGUCUUUGAACGCAAGUUGCGCCCGAAGCCAUUAGGCCGAGGGCACGCCUGCCUGGGCGUCACACGUCGUUGCCCCCCCAUCUACUCCUUCGGGAUUGCGGGGGGCGGAUGAUGGCCUCCCGUGCGCCUCGUCGCGCGGUUGGCAUAAAUGCCAAGUCCUCGGCGACGCACGCCACGACAAUCGGUGGUUGCGAAACCUCGGUUGCCCGUCGUGUGCGGUCGUCGCGCAUCGAGGGCUCGAAAAAAUUGCCGGGCUCCGGCUCGGCUUUCAACGCGACCCCAGGUCAGGCGGGGUUACCCGCUGAAUUUAAGCAUAUCAAUAAGCGGAGGA